rnacentral:rRNA from 1 species
GAUGAACGCUGGCGGCGUGCCUAAUACAUGCAAGUCGAGCGAACAGAUGAGGAGCUUGCUCCUCUGACGUUAGCGGCGGACGGGUGAGUAACAAGUGGAUAACCUACCUAUAAGACUGGGAUAACUUCGGGAAACCGGAGCUAAUACCGGAUAAUAUAUUGAACCGCAUGGUUCAAUAGUGAAAGACGGUUUUGCUGUCACUUAUAGAUGGAUCCGCGCCGCAUUAGCUAGUUGGUAAGGUAACGGCUUACCAAGGCAACGAUGCGUAGCCGACCUGAGAGGGUGUUCGGCCACACUGGAACGGAGACACGGUCCAGACUCCUACGGGAGGCAGCAGUAGGGAAUCUUCCGCAAUGGGCGAAAGCCUGACGGAGCAACGCCGCGUGAGUGAUGAAGGUCUUCGGAUCGUAAAACUCUGUUAUUAGGGAAGAACAAAUGUGUAAGUAACUAUGCACGUCUUGACGGUACCUAAUCAGAAAGCCACGGCUAACUACGUG